UGGGGAAUAUUGGACAAUGGGGGAAACCCUGAUCCAGCAAUGCCGCGUGAGUGAAGAAGGCCCUAGGGUUGUAAAACUCUUUCAGUAGUGAUGGUGAUGACAGUAACUACAGAAGAAGCACCGGCUAACUUCGUGCCAGCAGCCGCGGUAAUACGAAGGGUGCUAGCGUUGUUCGGAAUUACUGGGCGUAAAGAGCAUGUAGGCGGAUAGAUUAGUCAGAGGUGAAAGCCCCGAGCUCAACUCGGGAACUGCCUUUGAUACUAUUUAUCUAGAGUCCGAGAGAGGUUAGUGGAAUUCCCAGUGUAGAGGUGAAAUUCGUAGAUAUUGGGAAGAACACCAGUGGCGAAGGC
rnacentral:rRNA from 1 species